AUGGACAGUUUAGGGAAAGACCAUGAUUAUUCCAACACUUCUCUGCCUUCCUCCACAGCCCACGAGGAGAACGCUGAGCCAGGUGCCACCAUGUCCCGCCGCUUGAGAGACCGGGAGCUGCUCCGGAAGAGAAAGGCAGAAGCCAAGGAGAAGGAUUCAAUUCAGUGGGCUCUGGGGGAGCAUGAGAGGAGCAAGCGGCAGAGGAGGGGCCGAGGUGCCAGGCGAGGAAAGGGCCGCGAGCAUGUCGUGGAGCCCACACCACAGCCAAAACCACAGCCAAACCCUCAGCCCCCAAAGAAGGAGGAAGCUGAGACGAUGUCCUCCAUGGUGAUGCAGCAAGCCGAGUCUCCCCAGAUGGACGUGCAGGACCUGUUUUCUGGGGUGCAGCUGGCAGAUCUGGAAGGGAUGCUGGGAUCUGGGAGCCAGAGUCCCCUGGGUGAGCCCUGGAAAGCUGCCGUCCCCAUGGGAUGCUGGGGGGGCCGCGGGGAGGGGCUGCAGUGACAGAUCCUGAUCUCCAAGCCAUGGGGAGGGGUAGAAAGCCCACUGCACCUCUCUGGGAAUACAGGUCAGCAAGAAAAACACUGUACCCCAAACUGUUGGUUCACAGACGAGCGUCCGCCUCGGGUCCUCUUCUGUCUGAAACUAAAGAAAGUGACCAGCAGGCCAUAGCUGGGCAGCGGGACAGCGGUUAAUUACCCAUAGCGGUGGGUCACCGUGCUCCCCACUCCUCUGCCAAGAGCCAGACCAGGGCAGGGGUGCUUUGAAAAGAAGAGGCAACCUCCCGAGCACAGAGCAGGUCAGGGAGCCCUGGCCACUGCCUGCCCACAGCCCACCGGUCCCGGGGUGGUGGGGAGGGGAAGGGGCAGCAGCAGCCAGGCACGGUGUGUGCAGGAGACCUGCCGUGGUGGGGCUGGCCAGAACCACAGUCCUUCCAGCACACCGCAGGGCUUCUGAUGCCCUUGUGCCACCGCUGUCCUGCACCAGCUCCAGCCCCUGGUCCUGAGACCCCAACAUGGCAAGAAUCAGGGCUGCUCUUAUUUGCCUUCUGCCAUUAAACCCAUUUAAACCCCAGAACCCAGGGGGCCAGCACAUCCUCUGGAAGCCACACGGGCCAGCAGGAGGUGCUUCACAUCACGGGCACCCCGCGGCAGUGACCUGUCUCUGGUGUCCUUUGCAGGUGAAGAGGACAUGCUGAAACUGGCAGACGAAAUACAAGACGUAUUGAAUACUUCGCUGGAAAAGAACGAAUCGGAUAGCGAGAUGUACUCAUCGAGUCUAUUUUAAAGUUUUAUUUUAAAAUAUAUAUGUAUUCUUCUAAUUUUUAUGACUAAGAAAUACUGGAAAGCCUUGCAGGGAGACUUAAAAGCUGUUCCUUCCUCGGGAACAAUAAAAAACUGACUCUCUCUCCA
rnacentral:lncRNA from 1 species